rnacentral:rRNA from 1 species
GCGUUGUCCGGAAUCACUGGGCGUAAAGGGCGCGUAGGCGGCGUUUUAAGUCGGGGGUGAAAGCCUGUGGCUCAACCACAGAAUGGCCUUCGAUACUGGGACGCUUGAGUAUGGUAGAGGUUGGUGGAACUGCGAGUGUAGAGGUGAAAUUCGUAGAUAUUCGCAAGAACACCGGUGGCGAAGGCGGCCAACUGGACCAUUACUGACGCUGAGGCGCGAAAGCGUGGGGAGCAAACAGG